rnacentral:rRNA from 1 species
GACGAACGCUGGCGGCGUGCCUAAUACAUGCAAGUAGAACGCUGAAGGAGGAGCUUGCUCUUCUGGAUGAGUUGCGAACGGGUGAGUAACGCGUAGGUAACCUGCCUGGUAGCGGGGGAUAACUAUUGGAAACGAUAGCUAAUACCGCAUAAUAGUAGAUGUUGCAUGACGUUUGCUUAAAAGGUGCAAUUGCAUCACUACCAGAUGGACCUGCGUUGUAUUAGCUAGUUGGUGGGGUAACGGCUCACCAAGGCGACGAUACAUAGCCGACCUGAGAGGGUGAUCGGCCACACUGGGACUGAGACACGGCCCAGACUCCUACGGGAGGCAGCAGUAGGGAAUCUUCGGCAAUGGACGGAAGUCUGACCGAGCAACGCCGCGUGAGUGAAGAAGGUUUUCGGAUCGUAAAGCUCUGUUGUAAGAGAAGAACGAGUGUGAGAGUGGAAAGUUCACACUGUGACGGUAUCUUACCAGAAAGGGACGGCUAACUACGUGC